rnacentral:rRNA from 1 species
ACGGAAGGCAGCAGUGAGGAAUAUUGGUCAAUGGACGGAAGUCUGAACCAACCAAGUCGCGUGAAGGAUGAAGGUAUUAUGUAUUGUAAACUUCUUUAGCAGUGGAGUAAUAAGGGGAUCGCGAUCCCUGAUGCAAGUACACUGAGAAUAAGGAUCGGCUAACUCCGUGCCAGCAGCCGCGGUAAUACGGAGGAUCCGAGCGUUAUCCGGAUUUAUUGGGUUUAAAGGGUGCGCAGGCGGCUUUUUAAGUCAGUGGUUAAAUCGUGACGCUCAACGUCAUCACGCCAUUGAUACUGGAGAGCUUGAUUGCGGUCGAGGUUUGCGGAAUUCGUUGUGUAGCGGUGAAAUGCAUAGAUAUGACGAAGAACACCGAUUGCGUAGGCAGCAGACCAGGCCGUAAAUGACGCUCAUGCACGAAAGUGCGGGGAUCGAACAGGAUUAGAUACCCUGGUA